AUUAUUGGACAAUGGGGGCAACCCUGAUCCAGCCAUCCCGCGUGUGUGAGGAAGGUCUUCGGCUUGUAAAGCACUUUAAGUUGGGAGGAAGGGCUUUAGCCUAAUACCCUGAAGUUUUGACGUUACCCACAGAACAAGCACCGGCGAACUCUCUGCCAGCAGCCGCGGUAACACAGAGGGUGCAAGCGUUAAUCGGAAUUACUGGGCUGAAAGCGCGCGUAGGUGGUUCAGUAAGAUGGGUGUGAACUCCCCGGGCCUAACCUGGGUACUGCUUUCAUAACUGCUGAGCUAGAGUACGGUAGAGGGUAGUGGAAUUUCCUGUGUAGCGGUGAAAUGCGUAGAUAUAGGAAGGAACACCAGUGGCGAAGGCGGCUUACUGGACUGUAACUGACGCUGAGGUGCGAAAGCGUGGGGAGCAAAC
rnacentral:rRNA from 1 species